rnacentral:tRNA from 1 species
GGAAGAGUGGCAGAGUGGUCGAUUGCAAUAGUCUUGAAAACUAUCGUUCCGAGAGGAACCGUGAGUUCGAAUCUCACCUCUUCCGCCA